UCAACAUUCUUCGAAACUCACUCACUUGUCCAACACUCUUCAAACCUCUAAGGCGUAUUCCUAAGUGUCUUAAAUAGACACAAGCUUAUCUCUAAAGCUUACUUGGUACCCUCUGAUAGUAAGGUUGCCCAAGUGUCGCACGAUUAGUCGUCUCAAACUCUGACUCCGUGACACUUAGCUAUCUUUUAGGAGCAUUGAAAGCAAUUUUUAGGGGUCAAAGUUAGGCUUAGACACUUCUUUUAUUUAUUUGUAGAGUGAGAAUGUCACUUUCGGCACUUAGAAACUUUUUUUCAAGGUUUUCAUAGACAAAUUAUGACUUAGUUAGCUUUUUGGAGCAUUUUAGGUGGUUUUGAGGGCAAAAAUGAGACUUAGUUACCUUUUAGUAUGUUUUGAGAUUGAAAGUGUCACUUACACACUUUUUAGAAAUUUUUUACGUGGUUUUUAAUGGACAAAAGUCAGUACAAGAAUUUUGGACUUUAAUGUUGGUUGGAAAAAGUGAAAUCAGAUGUAUAAUGUCGGUUUUGUUUUUUUUUUAAAAAAAAUUAGAUCUUUUAUGUCGGUUUUAAACCGACAUUAAAGACCCGCUUAAUUUAUCCCCCACUUUCUAUUUUUCCCCCAUUUUUUUCAUUUCCCUCUUCACUUUCCCACUAUUUUCUUUUCACUCUCAUUCUCACACUUCCCUCUUCAAACCCUAGAGUUGUUUACCCAACACUCUCAAGUUCCUUCUUGGAAUUUCUUUUUCUUCGUAUUUUUCUCUCUCUUUUUUAUCUCCCUUUCUUCCUUCGAUCUCCGUCCAUCUUGAUCGUGGUCGUGGAACCUUCAAAUUGUUCACUCUGCCGGUUGAAAAUUCCGUAUAUAUCUUUAUUUUCUUCUAAAUUGAUUGUUUUUACGAUCUGAUCAUUACCGAAUUAGAUUCAAACUCCUCGCUUUACAUCAGUAUUUCAUUCUAUUCACUCAGAUUAUCUCAAUUUUUCCCUUUCAAAUCCCUAAUUUCGUUUCUUCUUGUUCGAUCAGUUCUUUGUUACUGGGAAGUGAUCGGUCAUCUUAGGCAUUUUUCAUUUAUGCAAUGCUUUCAGUACUAUAAUGAAGAUGAAGAGAAGGAGGGCGCUAGAAGUGAUUUCAACACUAUUAAUGAAGUCAACUUAUGCUAUUAUUAGUUGCUUACUAAGGUAAGUUAGUUGUUUGUGUGUCUACCUUGCAUUUAAAUUCUAAUCUUGUUUUACAUAUUGCUUGCUUGUUUUGAUUUAUUUUGAACAUUUUUUUAAUAUAUACUGUUUGAUUGUUUUUUGAUCAAUUUUUUGUUUGUUAACUCUAAAAGAAUUGUAACUCAUAAAUUUCCCCCUUCCUCCUCCUCCUCCUUCUUUUAAUAAUUUACUUCUUCGUCUUUUAGCUUCCAAAAAUUAGAUCAUCCAUCAAUAAUGUCACAUCUGUUCCACUUGAUGAUAUUGAAGAACCUCUAAAAGGUUUCAUUUGAGAAUUUGAUAAGGGAGAUUUUCAUCAUUGGGUUGACCUCAUUAAUCAUUUCGAUUUAUUUUUUUUAGGAGAGUAGCAUAUAAAGACAAGGAAGGAUUUGCAGGUUGAGGAUACUUUUUUGGGCUUCGAUCCUCCAUUUCCAAGAGAUGUGCCAACUAGUUUGCGAUUUUCUCUUCUGACAAGGAUGCGAUUUGCAAGAGCAUUUCAUUCUCUAUCUGCUCGGCAGUAGUAUACCUGCAUUCGCUUGUAUGCCUUCAUUGUUCUUGUUCAAGCAAGUGGCAAUGCUGAUAAUCUAGUUAGUUUCUUUAACUCUGAGCCUGAGUUUGUAAAUGAGUUAGUUGGCUUAUUAAGCUAUGAGGAUGUGGUUCCUGUAAAAAUACGAAUCCUUUGUCUAUUAUCAUUGGUUGCACUUUGUCAAGACUGGUCAUGCCAACCAAUUGUGUUGUCUACAGUGACUUCUGGUGGGCAUCGUGGCAUCUUGUCCAGCCUCAUGCAGAAGGCUGUUGAUUCUGUGAUUACUGAUAUUACAAAGUGGUCGAUGCUGUUUGCUGAAGCAAGGUGUCCUAGAUGCAAUACUUACCAAGUGGAGAGGGACGGUAACUCAUAAUGUUUGUAUUACUUGUAAUUUGUGUUUUCAAGACUUGAAUUAUUGUACGGCCUUUUAAAUUAUAAUUUUAUAACAGAAUUUAUGGAUUAAAUGUAAUAGAUUUACCAUCCAUACAAGAAUAAUAUGUCAUAGUCACAACGUUCGAUGAUGA